GCGGCCUAUCAGCUUGUUGGUGAGGUAAUGGCUCACCAAGGCGACGACGGGUAGCCGGCCUGAGAGGGCGACCGGCCACACUGGGACUGAGACACGGCCCAGACUCCUACGGGAGGCAGCAGUGGGGAAUAUUGCACAAUGGGCGAAAGCCUGAUGCAGCGACGCCGCGUGAGGGAUGACGGCCUUCGGGUUGUAAACCUCUUUCAGCAGGGAAGAAGCGAAAGUGACGGUACAUGCAGAAGAAGCACCGGCUAACUACGUGCCAGCAGCCGCGGUAAUACGUAGGGUGCGAGCGUUGUCCGGAAUUAUUGGGCGUAAAGAGCUUGUAGGCGGUUUGUCGCGUCUGCAGUGAAAAUCCGAGGCUCAACCUCGGACUUGCUGUGGGUACGGGCAGACUAGAGUAUGGUAGGGGAGACCGGAAUUCCUGGUGUAGCGGUGGAAUGCGCAGAUAUCAGGAGGAACACCGAUGGCGAAGGCAGGUCUCUGGGCCAUAACUGACGCUGAGAAGCGAAAGCAUGGGGAGCGAACAGGAUUAGAUACCCUGGUAGUCCAUGCCGUAAACGUUGGGCGCUAGGUGUGGGGCUCAUUCCACGAGCUCCGUGCCGCAGCUAACGCAUUAAGCGCCCCGCCUGGGGAGUACGGCCGCAAGGCUAAAACUCAAAGGAAUUGACGGGGGCCCGCACAAGCGGCGGAGCAUGCGGAUUAAUUCGAUGCAACGCGAAGAGCCUUACCAAGGCUUGACAUAUACCGGAAACAUCCAGAGAUGGGUGCCCCGCAAGGUCGGUAUACAGGUGGUGCAUGGUUGUCGUCAGCUCGUGUCGUGAGAUGUUGGGUUAAGUCCCGCAACGAGCGCAACCCUCGUUCUAUGUUGCCAGCGCGUAAUGGCGGGGACUCAUAGGAGACUGCCGGGGUCAACUCGGAGGAAGGUGGGGAUGACGUCAAAUCAUCAUGCCCCUUAUGUCUUGGGCUUCACGCAUGCUACAAUGGCCGGUACAAAGGGCUGCGAUACCGCGAGGUGGAGCGAAUCCCAAAAAACCGGUCUCAGUUCGGAUUGGGGUCUGCAACUCGACCCCAUGAAGUCGGAGUCGCUAGUAAUCGCAGAUCAGCAACGCUGCGGUGAAUACGUUCCCGG
rnacentral:rRNA from 1 species